AUCUGCCAGUCUCUUGACCAACUGACCUUAUCAUAGAGUUUAAUCACUUCAUCUCUAGACAAACAAAUAGGCAUAGCUAAUUUUAUUACCCUACACACCAGGACAUCGUUUCUGGUCUUAAUCACAUCUGACAGUUCAACUUUAACUGCAGAUAAUAAACUAGCAACUUGUCAAAUUAGCCUUGCGUCAUUAAUUUUUCUCUGUACACAAAUUAAACAGUUAUAAAGCCAAACUAACUAGAGGUCAAUAUUUACAAAACAUUAAAAUAU
rnacentral:lncRNA from 1 species